UUUGAACGCUGGCGGCAGGCUUAACACAUGCAAGUCGAGCGGGGGAAGGUAGCUUGCUACCGGACCUAGCGGCGGACGGGUGAGUAAUGCUUAGGAAUCUGCCUAUUAGUGGGGGACAACAUCUCGAAAGGGAUGCUAAUACCGCAUACGUCCUACGGGAGAAAGCAGGGGAUCUUCGGACCUUGCGCUAAUAGAUGAGCCUAAGUCGGAUUAGCUAGUUGGUGGGGUAAAGGCCUACCAAGGCAACGAUCUGUAGCGGGUCUGAGAGGAUGGGCCGCCACACUGGGACUGAGACACGGCACAGACGCCUACGGGAGGCAGCAGUGGGGAAUAUUGGGCAAUGGGGGGAACCCUGAUCCAGCCAUGCCGCGUGUGUGAAGAAGGCCUUAUGGUUGUAAAGCACUUUAAGCGAGGAGGAGGCUACUUUAGUUAAUACCUAGAGAUAGUGGACGUUACUCGCAGAAUAAGCACCGGCUAACUCUGUGCCAGCCGCCGCAGUAA
rnacentral:rRNA from 1 species